UGACUGGUCAUUACAACAGUAAUAUAUAAGAAUUUGAAAAAUGAAAAAGAUAUUCAAAUUUAUUUUUGAAACUGAUAGCAUAUACAUGUAUAAAAAAAAUCUGUUUUAUGUUUGUAAAGCAUGCGUAAUAAUUAUAUGAAAGAUUUGACCAGGUUAAUGAAGUUCGCUCCGUGCACUCUUAGAAUAUGACAUGACACAAUGAAAAAGUUACUGCCAUUUUGUGGCCUUGAAAAUAAACCAGUUGAUUGGUUAUCGAUUUCUUCUCAAGGGGCAUAAGGACAUUUUCUAAUUAAUCAACGAAUAUGGGAAUAUUUGUAAAACACAUGUUUUCUCUGAUAAAUGAAUCUAUCUAACAAUGUUAUUAGACUAUUUUGACCUUUAUGGAAAAUGAAUAUAGAUAAUAUAAGAACAUUGUUAUCAUAUUUCGAUAUUGGUGGAAAUAAUCUUUCAAUAGGCAUGCUCCUUGUGACGUAAUACACAUCACUGAGUUAUAGCCAUACCAGUAAAUCAAUACAGUAUCACGUGAGCACUACAAUGAUACAAAACAAAUAAAGUACAGAAUUAACAAAUAUGGAAAAAGUUAAGGUAAGUGCCUCUAUACUUCAAUUUAAUCUUGGUUGUUAUUGUUCUUUUUUUUCAUUUUCAAUGGAUUGAAAAGUAAUGUAAUCAGCCAAUAACAGAGAAAAAAUAUUCACAGUUUAUUGGAAGGAAACUCGGGCUUCUUGUUUUGUAUGUAUGUUGAUUUUGAUUUUUUAAAUUAUUUUUCCCCGUAACUUCAAAACAAUAAUCUAGUUAACUCUUAUAUAUAAAUAUAAAUAUAUAAUCUUCACCGAUAGCAGUCGAUGAAAGAAAAUGCAUAUAACGAUACACAGGGACUUGACACGGAUUUCUAACGCACGGUCCAUAUCUAUUAGCGCCAUGUGUAACGAUAUAUAUUGACCAUCCACAGCAAUUCGUGCACAUAAUGUUCGCUGAAAUAUAUAAACGAGAGAUGAAAAAUAUAUACACAAUGACAAAAUACAUAAUAAUUUACAUUAAUAAUACAUCAAGAUAUCUGUAGAGCAUCUACAGCAAUUUGUGCACAUAAUGUUCGCUGAUAGAUAAAAACGAGAGAUAAAAAUCAUAUUGACAGUGACAAAAUACAUAUUGAUUUAAAUAAGGUUACCUGUAGAACAUCUACAGCAAUUUGUGCAUUGGUGUUGACAAAAUAAAUGCUGGAAACCACCACGCGUAAAGUAUCAUCUGUUCCAUAACAGGCAUUGGCGAAUUUGAUGAAAAAACACGCCCUGUACGAGACGUUACCGGCCUAACGUCCACAAUUUGACAAUAUCAUCAAGUGUAAGUGAUUUUAUUAGGCAUUAAGGUAUUACACAGCAAAACGAUGUUGUCAAUUUCAGUGAAUAUGGACCUAUAUAACUACUACGUAUCAAACUCGAUUCAAACCUCUCAAAGAAUAUAUCUGUUUCGGUCCCUCCGCUCACAUUGGAGAAAUCAAGCUGUAUCCUAUUCAUCAUUUACAAACACAACACUUUGACGAGUUGAAGUCAUGAAAUUAAAUCAUUUGCCUACUUUUCACAAAAUAUGAAUUAAUCUCCGAGAAUUUUUCAAAACAAAACAAUAGAAAACCAAUGCGCAACAAAAGCAUCAAUUUUAAAUCAAAGGAAACAAUGGGAAAGCACAAAUUUACAAAUGUG